ensembl:lncRNA
GCUGCAGUGCACAAUGCACCUUGUGUGCCCAGCAGAGCAGAGAGUGUCACUGGCCCCUGAACAGCAAAGCUGAGCUCCCAGCCUGGCCCUGCUGCUUAGGUUGAGGCCUGGCAGGCCCAGGAGGCCCCAGUAUAAUCCAAGGUUGAAGUCUGGAGAGAAGGCUAGUUAAGCCUGGUGAGCUGAGGGCAGGUAGAACUCCUGUCCCCCAGUAUGAAAGUUGAGGCUAGCUAUCUGCCAGGUGCCUGCCUCAGCAGAGCCUGGGGCCGUCAUCACGGCCUGAUCACACAGCAUGUCUUGGGGAAUGAGCUGAGCAGACCCUUGCAGAAACGCCCUAGCGUUGGUAGGAGCAAGGGUCAUACUUCAGUGGAUGGAGUGCAGGCCGUGAGACAGAGGUUAAGCAGGGUCAGCACUCUCUUCAGGGGGAGUGUUGAGAAGUGGCUUAGGCUUCUUUCAUCACCAAUAAGCAGUCAUCUAAGGAGUGCUUGUUGGUGAUUCCGGAAACUGAUCUGAGCUACCUUCCAAUUCCCGGGAAGCAAGUCACCACUACCCUCAGUACCCACAGAGAGAAGUGCCCUACACAGCAGGGCAUGUACUCCCACUAGAAGUAAAUGGGCAGUGGGCUAGUAGUUGGGAGACAAAGGCAGGUGGAUCUCUGUGUUUGAGCCCAUCCUAGUCUACAGUGAGAUCUGGGAAGGCCGGGGCUACAACAGAGAAAUCCUGUCUCAAAAACAAACAAACCAAAAACAAUAAUAGGUUCCUCAGAGGGUUUUCUCCAGUCUCCCUGUCAGCAUACACAGAGGCUUCAAUGACAGUGACAGAAAAGCCGAAGUCCAUCCCACUCCCUUCAGCUGAGAGGCUGGAUUGGCUACUCAGAUCACCUGAGGCCCCAAUCACCUCCAUCUCCCACUCGCCACAAAAAAGACUCAAAGAUGUGUGUUUCUCAACCAUUCCUGAGUGAUGCACACACUGGCGAUGCCUCAGAGUAAAGCCAGGGAUACAGCAGAAGACAGCCUUCUCUUCCAGGCUGCUCAUGGAAGAGAUUCGCACAAGAUGUAUCCACUGACACAGAGAAAUCUAGCAAGCAAGCUGGUGUGGUGGCAUAUGUCUGUGGUGCCAGCACGGUGCUAGAAGCAGAGGUAGGAGGAUCAGAUUCAAGGCCAGUGUAGGCUAUAGAGUGAGACUGUUUGAAACAGAGCUAAAAGGGGGGAGUUCUGCAGAGGCCAGUGAGGGAGAAAUGAGGCCAUGUUAGACAGCCAGGCAGCACCCGAGUGCCAGCAUGCUGGCCCUCCUCUGGGAAUAAUUGAAUAGACCAGAGAGCUGGGAGGUACCCUGCACAAGCACAGGAUGUGGGGUGGAGAAAGCAAGGACUGCUCCCACGUAAGGAUCUGGACAGAGGUUCAUGGGGACGUGGAGAAAUGGGUUCUGCUAGGGUUAUGUUUAGGGGCCUGCAAGGUGGACAGGGGUCUCUGAACAGAAAAGCCCAGGAUGGAGCCCUGUGCCUCUAAUUCUAGCACUCGGGAGUCAGAGGCAGAUGGAUUUCUGAGUUCAAGACCAGCCUGGUCUACACACCAAGUUCCAGAACAGCCAAGGCUACACAGAAAAGCCAUCUUGAAAAACCAAAUAUUUAGGCUGAUGAGGUGGAAUGGGGCUUAUAGACUAUGGAAGGAGGCUUCUGGGGGGAUAUUCCUGGCAAAUGUGCCUGGUCCUGGACAAUUUGCUGUUCAAGAACAGGAUUUGCCAGCCCACUGACAGUGACUCUUGAGAACGUGGAGAAUUUCCACAAGCUCACGAGGUAUAGAGCCAUGCUCAGGCAGGGUGGGACAUGGGUGUCAUACAUGCCCUAUCUGCCGCAGUUUGCUCUCACGUGACUUAAUUUUUAGAUUUAUUAACUUUUAUGUGUUUUGCCUGCAUACAUGAGUACUACGUGUGUACUCGGUGCCGGUGCCUGCAGAGGUUAGAAGAGGGCAUUAGGUCCCUGGAACAAGAGUUGCAGAUCACUGUGAACCACCAUGUGGGUUCAGGGGAGUGAACCUGGGUCCUCUGCAAGAGCAAUAAGUGAUCUCAGCCUUGAGCCAUCUCUCCAGCCUGUGGCUGUGAUUCUAAAAUGCUGAGCAAACCAACCUUGGGGGUGGGGAGGGGGAGAAAAAGGUUCUUUUGGCUUACAUGUCCAGUCCAUCACUGAAAGAGAUUAGGGCAGGGACCAUGGAGGACCCCUGCUCACCAUUGUAUCUCCAAA